AAAACUUUCAACAACGGAUCUCUUGGUUCUGGCAUCGAUGAAGAACGCAGCGAAAUGCGAUAAGUAAUGCGAAUUGCAGAAUUUAGUGAAUCAUCGAAUCUUUGAACGCACAUUGCGCCCGCUAGUAUUCUGGCGGGCAUGCCUGUUCGAGCGUCAUUU
rnacentral:rRNA from 1 species